GAUUAACGCUAGCGGGAUGCAUAACACAUGCAAGUCGAGCGGCAGCACUUCGGGUGGCGAGCGGCGAACGGCUGAGUAACACGUUGGUACCUGCCUUGAACUCAGGGAUAACGUCGAGAAAUCGACGCUAAUACCGGAUACCCCAGCAAUGGGAAAGCUUCGGCGGUUCAAGAGGGGCCUGCGACGUAUCAGGUAGUUGGUAGAGUAAUAGCCUACCAAGGCAACGAUACGUAGCCGACCUGAGAGGGUGAUCGGCCACACUGGAACUGAGACACGGUCCAG
rnacentral:rRNA from 1 species